rnacentral:rRNA from 1 species
AUUGAACGCUGGCGGCAGGCUUAACACAUGCAAGUCGAGCGGAGAUGAGGUGCUUGCACCUUAUCUUAGCGGCGGACGGGUGAGUAAUGCUUAGGAAUCUGCCUAUUAGUGGGGGACAACAUUCCGAAAGGAAUGCUAAUACCGCAUACGUCCUACGGGAGAAAGCAGGGGAUCUUCGGACCUUGCGCUAAUAGAUGAGCCUAAGUCGGAUUAGCUAGUUGGUGGGGUAAAGGCCUACCAAGGCGACGAUCUGUAGCGGGUCUGAGAGGAUGAUCCGCCACACUGGGACUGAGACACGGCCCAGACUCCUACGGGAGGCAGCAGUGGGGAAUAUUGGACAAUGGGGGGAACCCUGAUCCAGCCAUGCCGCGUGUGUGAAGAAGGCCUUAUGGUUGUAAAGCACUUUAAGCGAGGAGGAGGCUACUGAGACUAAUACUCUUGGAUAGUGGACGUUACUCGCAGAAUAAGCACCGGCUAACUCUGUGCCAGCCGCCGCGGUA